GCGGAAAUAGCUCAGUUGGUAGAGCACGACCUUGCCAAGGUCGGGGUCGCGAGUUCGAGUCUCGUUUUCCGCUCAA
rnacentral:tRNA from 6 species